AGUUUUCAGAGAUGAGAAUGUGCCUUCGGGAACCGUGAGACAGGUGCUGCAUGGCUGUCGUCAGCUCGUGUUGUGAAAUGUUGGGUUAAGUCCCGCAACGAGCGCAACCCUUAUCCUUUGUUGCCAGCGGUCCGGCCGGGAACUCAAAGGAGACUGCCAGUGAUAAACUGGAGGAAGGUGGGGAUGACGUCAAGUCAUCAUGGCCCUUACGACCAGGGCUACACACGUGCUACAAUGGCGCAUACAAAGAGAAGCGACCUCGCGAGAGCAAGCGGACCUCAUAAAGUGCGUCGUAGUCCGGAUUGGAGUCUGCAACUCGACUCCAUGAAGUCGGAAUCGCUAGUAAUCGUGGAUCAGAAUGCCACGGUGAAUACGUUCCCGGGCCUUGUACACACCGCCCGUCACACCAUGGGAGUGGGUUGCAAAAGAAGUAGGUAGCUUAACCUUCGGGAGGGCGCUUACCACUUUGUGAUCCAUGACUGGGGUGAAGUCGUAACAAGGUAACCGUAGGGGAACCUGCGGUUGGAUCACCUCCUUACCUUAAAGAAGC
rnacentral:rRNA from 1 species